GCGGGUCUGCAAGUAAUUGGUAAACAUGCUGGCCUCUAAAUCCAUGCAAUUCCGGUUCGAGUCCGGGGGCCCGUGCCA
rnacentral:tRNA from 1 species